GAGGGCCGGAUGGAGGAUGUGAUCAGUCUAACACUCUGCCUUGGCCCAAAGGCUUCCUUCCGCCCUUUCGACCUAUUAACAGGAGUGGGGAAGGACAAAGAACCGUGAAUCGGAAAGAACGAUUCCCAGCAAUCUUCAGUGAUCGAAAAUAAAUAAAGAAAAACAGAGAAAGCCAAAGUCUCCCAUGGAAGGGAACCCAAUUAAUUGUCUUCGAUUUCAGAAUGAGUUUUUUUCCUGCUGUAGAAGAAGCGCACGGGAGGCAGCAGAGACAGCAACUUCUGCCAAGGUUCAACCUGAUCAGAAAUCGCUCAGAGCUCCAGCACCCGGGACUGAGGCAGAAGGGCUCCGCCAGGAAUAACGUUUUUUAAAGCACAGGAUUGCUGUGUGUGUGUGUGUGUGUGUGUGUGUGUGAGAGAGAGAGAGAGAGAGACAGAGGAAAGAGGAGGAGGAGGAGAGAUUGAUUGAUUGAUUUUUUUCUUUUCCUUCUCAACAUGUCACUUUCCUGCAUGGGAAUUCCUGAUAUUCCUGGCAGCCCGGAGAGAGGGGAGAGGCCCCCUGGUGACUUAUGACCCCCGCAGGAGUAACCAGAGAGCGCGCGCGAGCGCCCAGCGCCUGGCUCAAGACGAAGAUUUAACCGAGAACAAAAGAACGUUUGCCAAUCAGAAAACGCUACCCGAGAACGAGGAUAACCCCGCUUUGUGUUUUGAAAACUCUUUAAUUAGCCUGGUUUCUAAGACGCAUUAAAACAUUCCUACGCAGAUUCUAAA
rnacentral:lncRNA from 1 species